CUAGAUAAGGUCCGCCUAUUUAG
rnacentral:siRNA from 1 species